CCAACGGCCCUCUUUAGGGCCACCAAUAUGCUUGUGUUUUUAUUGU
rfam:Strongyloides papillosus strain LIN genome assembly, scaffold: SPAL_contig0000249